AGACCUCGAGCUUGAGUUCCGAUCUGACCUCGAGCUUAUUAGCCGACCUGAGCUUGUCAUUCUCCAACAGGAAGAUCGGGAGUUGAAGGUUUUCAAGAAGGAAGAAAGGAUAGGAGCAGGGUAUUUUGCAUGUUUUCGUUCUUCUAAAGUCUGCUAAACCCAUUGAUGGUGCUGCAAGAAAGAGGUACAAACCAAGACCCAUGAGGGCUGAAAGAGGCAAUGAGUUGCAUAAUGGGAAGUUGAUUGUGCAGAAUUGCGGAUUUCGGAGUUGGCCUGAUGGGAUUCAGUCAAUGGCUCUCUCG